GCCCGUAUGGCCUAAUGGCUAAGGCGUCUGACUGUGAAUCAGAAGAUUCCGAGUUCGACCCUCGGUAUGGGCU